AAAAAAACAAAAGGAAAAGGAAUAAUGAAGGUUUUGAGCUUUCUGUAAUGGUUCUGUGCUGUCCGGAGCGAGAAGGUAUACAUCUACAUGUGUGUAUGUGACAUGUGUUCAAAAGGCAGAGGCACUGGGUCCUCCGGAGCUGGAAUUACUGGCUGUUCUGAGACACCUGACAUGGAUGCAGGGAACCUAACUUGGGUCCUCUGGUAGAGCCAUCUCUCCAGCCACAACCGUGAAAGGUUUUUUUAAAGCAGUUCUCCAACUCAGACAAAUCAGAAGCAUCAGUGAAACCAGAGAUGCUUCAUCUACAUGUGUGUCUAUGUAUCCUGUAUGUGCCUCGUAUCCCCUGAGGCCAGAAGAGGACAUAUAGGUGUUCCAGUCUCAGAUCAGAACAAACUUUAGAAGUAUCAAGUAGAAGUUGGACAGAUGGCUCAGCAGCCAUGCAUUGAGUUCCCUUUUGAAAAUGUGUCACAACAACAUUUGGAGUCCUCUAAAACCUAC
ensembl:processed_transcript BC065397 cDNA sequence BC065397